ensembl:misc_RNA Gm28008 predicted gene, 28008
UUUUUAGCUUUUGAGGUCAGAGGCUGCCAUGAAAACUUAAAUUUUUUGAUAGGUGUUGCAAAUCUAUUCAUUGAUGUAUAAAAGCACGGCAUUCUAAUUCAAGUCAGCUUUGAGUUUUGCAUGUAACUCAUACAUCUGCAUCUCUUUACAUUUGGAAAUAUUUCUCUCACACAUUAAUGCAGCAAU